UGUUCCCUUUCAAAUGUGGACUGUUGGUUGUCAUUAACCAUAUCAUUGGCAUGCUAUGGUCAUCUGGUAACCAUUGAGAAAAUUUCUAGCUUGAUGUGACUUCAAGAUUAACACCCAUUGUUUUUCUGUAAUUCUCCUAGUCCAUUGAUGGGAACAUGAGGAAAUCACAAACAAAGAAGCAAGAUCUUGACUCCUGACAAGCAGCUAGAGCAGGAAGAUGCGUCAGCUUCAAAUGUUAAUAAGGAAAGCAAGGAGGAUCCAACAAAUGAAGUAAAAGAAAAGGGACCAGAGGAGAAGGUUGACUCGAAACUGUGGGUUGGGGUGUAUGUUGGGUUUAAAGUUCAGAAACUUUCUGCCAGUGACAAUGAUGACCUUUGCACAAUAUGUGCAUAUUUUGGAGAUCUUCUGCUUUGUGAUGGAUGCCCCAGGGCCUUUCACCAGGGUGCGUGUUUACAAAGAGCCAUCACUCACAAUUCCUGAAACUCCGGGAAUUGUGCAUCAUGGGAUUUUGAACAACAAAAGGCAGAAGGCAGGUCUUGACUAAGUAUGAGGAGUAGCUCGAGCUAUUGGUGAGGAUCAUAUGAUAUGGUGAUGGAAAACAAACACGAAGCUUUCAAUAUUUUUCUGAUAUGGUGCUUUUCAAGCUGGUUGUGAUAACAGUGUUUGUAAUUAUAGAGUCUUUAGACAACUGCAUAAAGACGGUUGGCUUUGGGACCUACAGUAAACGUGCAUCACUGGGACCUAUAGUAAAUGUGCCACUAUGAAGAAAACACCACAACUAGACAAUUUUAGUAGUUAGUGGGACCCACACAUCAGCAGGUGAAUGGUAAAUGGUACCUUUUAUUAUGGAUCACCCCUAGACUAAAGACCUGAUACCUUUUGUUGUUGUAAGUUCCUAAUUAGUUUGUUUCUGCAUUGCGUUGGAGCUAUUCGGAUGUUGAGCGAGGGUCCCUGGAAGGUGGGAACCGCUGUUAUAACUAUGAUGAAGCUGUCCAUUUCCUAUAGACAACAAUAUGGGUGGCCUGGCCAUUUGGAUAGGCCCGUGUUUAUGUAUUAUCUCGAAAUUAAU